rnacentral:rRNA from 1 species
AUACGUAGGGGGCAAGCGUUGUCCGGAUUUAUUGGGCGUAAAGAGCGUGUAGGCGGCCAUACAGGUCCGUUGUGAAAACUGGAGGCUUAACCUCCAGACGUCGAUGGAAACCGUAUGGCUAGAGUCCGGAAGAGGAGAGUGGAAUUCCUGGUGUAGCGGUGAAAUGCGCAGAUAUCAGGAAGAACACCCGUGGCGAAGGCGGCUCUCUGGGACGGUACUGACGCUGAGACGCGAAAGCGUGGGGAGCGAACA